UACGUAGGAUGCAAGCGUUGUCCGGAAUUAUUGGGCGUAAAGAGCGAGCAGGCGGCAUACCAAGUUGGACGUGAAAUUUUAGGGCUUAACCCUAAAGGGUCGUCCAAAACUGGUAAGCUAGAGUGCAGGAGAGGAAAGCGGAAUUCCCGGUGUAGUGGUGAAAUGCGUGGAUAUCGGGAGGAACACCAGAGGCGAAGGCGGCUUUCUGGCCUGUAACUGACGCUGAGGCGCGAAGGCUGGGGUAGCGAACAGG
rnacentral:rRNA from 1 species